UUUAAUAGAGACGAGGUUUCACCAUGUUGGCCAGGAUGGUCUCAAUCUCUUGACCUUGUGAUCUGCUCGCCUUGGCCUCCCAAAGUGUUGAGAUUACAGGCUUGAGCCAUUCAACAACUAUUAAUUGCAUGCCAUCUCCAGGCCUGGAAUUAAGCUGGGUAUAAAGAACACAAUGACUAAGUCCCUGCCUUGGGCAAGUUGAGGAAGAAGGAAGAGCCUCCUUGUUCUACAGAUGGGAAAACUGGUCCAAAGGGAGUAAGCAGCUGCCCUCAAUAACUAGGUGAAUCUGGCAGAACUGAUCCAAGCAUCAGCCCAGCCUCUAAACUUGGCCAUUUGAUGAACUAGAUCUAAGCACAGUUUGCAGUUCUUGCCGUGAAUCACGUAAAUGUCACUCUACCAGAAAAUGGAACUUAAGAACCAGCAUUUGUUCCUGGAGACCUGAGUUCCAACUCUAUCUCUGCCACUAAAUAGCUUUAGUUUUCUUACUAGGUGGGAAAAAUGGAAAUAACUGCUUAUUCAAAGGGCUAUUCGUUGGCAUUAAAUCAGGCAAUGGAUGCGAAUUUGCUCUGAAAGCUUAACUUGCUAUAUAUGAGUGUGUGCUGUUACUAUGCAGGUGGCAUGCCUUUUCUAACCUAUAAGCUGUAUUCAGGCCUCUCCCCCUCCUUCCCCCAGCUUAUCCCAAGCCUGGUUACUAGGUGCCCAGAAGCUAACUGUAAUUCUGCUCCCCUCAGGUUAGGCCACAAUGUGCUUACUCAUGAUGAUCUUUUCCCUCCAGUUUCUUAACAGCACGGCCAGAAGCUUAGCUCACUGCCUAGAAGCCAUAUCAUCUUUGGGGCAGGAGGGAAGAAUUCCGGUGACUUUCUUCUUCUCUUCUCUUCUUUCUCUCUCUCUCUUUUCUUUCUUUUUCUUUCUCUUUUCUUCCUUCUUUCCUUUCUUUCUUCCUUCCUUUCUCUCUCUCUUUUCUUUUUUCUUUUCUUUCCAUCUUUCCUUUCCCUCUCCUCUCCUAUCCUCUCCUCUCUCCUCUCCUUGUGCUUUUUUGACCCCAGGCACCCCUUUGGUGCAACUACAGCACAUUAUGAGCAGCUCAGCAAGAGGCAGUAGGAUGGGGACACCUUCCUGCUGUCCUUCCUGAGCACAGUCUGGCUAAAAACCUGGAGGUCACAACAGUACAAAGAAUUAUAGUCAAGAUCUUGUGCCAGAGAGCAAAUGAACUCUUCCUCUUGCUCAGAAAACCCACCCUGCUCACCUAAACCCUGGCCUUGCCUGGUAAUUACAUCCAUGCGCCUGGCGGGCCCCAGACAUCAAGGGUCUGAGGGGCCAGGCACGGGGAGAACCCAGCAGUGUCCUGCCCUUCUGUCUGAGCUACCAGAUUCCUUGUGGAGAUAAUUUGAGGACCAUGACUCACCCAACCAAAUUUCCUGGGGCCUCAAAUUGAAAAUUCAGGAUGGGUUUUUCUAUAUGACUGCCUGAUAUGCAACUAUGCCAUGGUCUUUACAGGCCAUGAACAUUCUUUCCUGCCAGAGUUCUAAGCAUCUGUGUUCUCUGCCUCAGACCUUCUGCAGAUGAGCCCACAGGAAGCUCCCACGUGUAGCUGAGCUGCAUGCACCAGGCCUCAGUUUGCCCCAAGUCCCCUGUGUACUCUCUCACUUUGGACUCAGGAGUGCAAAGAGAAGCCCAGAAACUUGAAUUGCUUGAACUUGAAUUUUGUGUGUGUGUGCCUGCACGCAUGUGCACGUGGUGGUGGAUGUGUAUGUUUUCAGCUGUUCUAUGUGUUACUGUAACAGAACUCCCAAAUAAUAGUAACAUUUGUUUUAGAUGAUGUCUGCUGACAAGUCACAAACAUGAUACUAACUCGCAACUCUCUGCUCCACUGGCACAGAAUAGAGCAUGGAGCCUGGUGCUGGGUGUCAGCCUGUGGUGUUGGGUGUCAGUUAACAGGCUGGGUAAGGCAGGAAAAAUAAUCCAUUCUUUGAUAUUAGACAUGACCCAGAAUUUCCUGCUGGCAGCCAAAGGGCCUCCUCGCUCAGAGAAGUGAUCUGAAGAAAGCUAGGCCAGGGGCAGGAGAGGGCCUCAGGCUGGCGCCCCAGAAGGUGGCCCAUCAGUCACUCUGGGAAGACAGAUAGACAUCGUCAGUCUCUUUUUACAAGUCAAGAGAGUAAAAUCAAAGUAAUAGUUUCCUGGCAGGAAGAAAGAGAAUUGCUGGGGCAUUGGAGACUCAGCUCUUAACCUCUGGGGUGACUCAAAAGAAGAGUUGCCUGGUCUGAGAACUUUAGACCAAAGAACUUAAAUCAUAUGAACUGAACAUGCAUGUGUAUCCAUAUACAUAUGUACAGAUAUGUUUAUAUACCCAAUACAGAAAGGUCACCAGAGACAAAGAAAUAGCAACAAUAGUUGUUUUGGGGAAGGGAAAGGAAGGGCUGUGAGGUGAGGGAGCAUACUUUCACUGAAUAUCCUCUGUACUGUGUGCAUUUUUGCCACAUGCAUAAACUAAACCUACAAGAAAAUAAACAA